CAUGAAUCAGCCAAGAGGCUAAAGCAUGCUUCCCGAAAGCUCACCUGAUAUAUGGGGAUAAAGGAAGGGGAGUGUGGAUGCCCAGCCAAAUGGAGGUUAUGGACAAGCAGAAGAUGAGACAGAGACUCCCAUUUUCCCACCCAGGUUCUUCACCCUGUGGACUGGGAGACACGCCAGCCUCCUUUUCCAUCUAAGAAAUUGCGGCAGCUGUGACUACUCAGGGCAGAAAUGUUUGGAUACAAGCUGGCAUGGAUCAUCCGGAAAGAUCUAGAGAGAUUCACCGCAACAGCAAGGAAAUGCCAGUUCCUUCCUGUAAGCUUUGCCUCAUGAGUCAAGUUCUUGUCUCUAGGUUCCUGUCUUGAGUUCCUGACAUAAAUUUACUCAAUGAUGGACUAUGAUGUGGAAGUGUAACCAAAAUAAACCCAUUCCUCCCCAAGUUACUUAAAGUUUUAGCUUUUUCUCACAGCAAUAGAAAACCUAAGACAGGAUUUAACUAGGGCCAUCAGGCUUUGUGGUGUUGGAAACAAAUAUUCUUGGUGUCCCACAAAGAAAAACACAAAUAAAGUGAAAAUAACUCAGCAAGGCAAUAAGGGAGCACCAUGACCCAAUAAGCUGGCAAGCACAUCAGGGCCAGGAAGCUCACAUUUUAUUCUAAUGCAGGUGGUAACUGUGCCUUUUCCUAGUGACAGUUUUUUUAAUUGAGUUUUUCUUUCUUUCUUUCUUUCUUUCUUUCUUUCUUUCUUUCUUUCUUUCUUUCUUUCUUUCUUUCUUUCUUUCUUUCUCUUUCUUUCUUUAUUUCUCUUUCUUUCUUUCUUUCUUUUUUCUUUCUUUCCUCCUCCUCCUCUUCCUCCUCCUCCUCCUCCUUCUUCUUCCAAUCUCUCUCUCUCUCUCUUUCUCUCUCUCUCUCUCUCUCAGUUUUU
rnacentral:lncRNA from 1 species